AUUGAACGCUGGCGGAAUGCUUUACACAUGCAAGUCGAACGGCAGCACGGACUUCGGUCUGGUGGCGAGUGGCGAACGGGUGAGUAAUGUAUCGGAACGUGCCCAGUCGUGGGGGAUAACGUAGUGAAAAUUACGCUAAUACCGCAUACGAUCUAUGGAUGAAAGCGGGGGAUCGCAAGACCUCGCGCGAUUGGAGCGGCCGAUAUCAGAUUAGGUAGUUGGUGGGGUAAAGGCCCACCAAGCCAACGAUCUGUAGCUGGUCUGAGAGGACGACGAGCCACACUGGAACUGAGACACGGUCCAGACUCCUACGGGAGGCAGCAGUGGGGAAUUUUGGACAAUGGGCGAAAGCCUGAUUCAGCCAUUCCGCGUGCAGGAUGAAGGCCCUCGGGUUGUAAACUGCUUUUGUACAGAACGAAAAGGUUUCCACUAAUACUAGGAGCUCAUGACGGUACUGUAAGAAUAAGCACCGGCUAACUACGUGCCAGCCGCCGCCGUAA
rnacentral:rRNA from 1 species